UUUAUCUAAUGUAGUUUAUAUAUCAUUGACUCAUCUGUUAUUCUUCUCUUUCAUGUGACCAGUUUAGCUCUUAUUAACUGAAAACUUGAAUGUACUUGGCACAGUUCCAAACUGUGGCUUUCUUGAAGCCGCUUGAAAGGGGAGGGGGGUAUUUUUUUUUUGCAAAAGCUCUAUAGGGUGUAAGACGGUGGAAUAAAAGGCAGAAAGAAAGAUGGCAGUAAUUGUAAUAUCCUGAGAUUUUUUAGCUCAGCCAAAAAUUCCUGCCAUUGAGCAAGUUUCACAGGGCUGCCACUGACUCGCUGCAGGACACAUAAAAUCUGAUCAAGUUCAGAGACGCGCUGAGUGCUUCAAGCGGCGCUUUUUAACUCCAAGCCAUUCACAUCCUUUCCCCCUCAAUCUGUCCCAGGAAGGAGCUCACAUUCUUUAUUUUAAGGGAUCUGGACCAAAAAAAAUCUUCAAAUCAUUCCUUCAUUCUACCUUCGCCCUCACCCUACCACAUUCACCCCAGAACAUUUCCUCGAGAAAGAGUUAUAGAUUGAAAAGGUCCUCUUGUUCCUCCGUCUCAUCUAUCUCUACCCCUGCAGCUCCUGGCUAUCUUCACCCUCUAUGGCUCCUUCAUGAUGGCCCCCUAAUCUCUACCAGUGUGGUUCCAUGAUAGGUCGCGUCUGAGGGGUUCGUUAUCAAGGCAUCAAUGGUGAUAACAACGCAUACCUAGGGCAACUGAAACAAUAAACAAAUGUUGAUUCUCAAGGAAAAGAUUGAACAAAAGUAUGCAUUGCAAGUCGGCUGUGUAAUCAAGCCUGUGAACUCGACAUCUGAAGGAAGGAUUCGUUUUCUGAUCACAUCCCUAUUGAAGACCGUCCAAUUGCUGAACAUGGUUGUGGUGACGCACUCAGGCGUGCAAUCCUUGGUUUCACUCUGCCAGCAGCCUGCACACUGAGGCCGUCGAGCCAUUAAUGAGCCCCAGCUCCGAUAAUGAAGACACAGAGGUGGUCUGAGCCAGUGUGGCACAGGAGCUGGAGCACAGGAGGAAGGUAGAUUAGGAUAAUUACCUGGCCACGGGGGAACCAUCAGAAAGAUGUCUCACAACCUGCAGGCCUUGAUCGAAGGAGCAAUAUAAUGAGGUGCGGACACCCUUUGCUCGGAAAGGAAAGAAUAAAGGAAAAUUGAAAAAUUAGUUUCUUAUAAUCGAAAUGUGACAUGUAUUUUUCAUUUCUGUGUGACAGUUAUUGCUCGUUCUGUUUUCUCAAGUUCUCUCCACCACCCUUACAUGUACUGUAUGUUUAUGUAUUUGUUUUAUAGCUGUGCUAGAUGUCUCACACAUACUAUACCUAAGUCCUAAAUAUCCACACUCACUGAUACUUUGAAGAGCCUAUGAGGUCAGGUUUUAAAUUAUGGUCUGCACCCACUCCAAGCUUUCUCGUCCCACUCCUGUAAAUCCAUUUUCCACACAAUGCAUUUCAAAUCAAAGCAGCGUCGCCAUAACAGGCCUUAGGAAACAUUAAGCCAUAGUGCAGUACUUUCAUGUGUGAUAGCAUAUCCCCUGUAUGCUUUGAUGUGCUCACUUUUUUAAUGCUUUAUUAAUAAUAACACACUGGGUCUUUCUCACACCAACAUCAGCUACUGGUGCUCCUUUCUCUACUCCUGAACUACACCCCUCACUCCUUCCACCAUGCCUCAGCUUCUGCCUCACUCCACAGCCCCUGAGCCCUGUCUCAGGAUUGGCCUGUUUGUGUUUGGGAGGGGGAUUAGAGGGAAUGACAUGGGCCUCCAGAUGAAGAGAGUGGCACAGACCUAUCAGAGGGCAGAGAGUAUGGAGCGCUGCAUCACCAUUGGUUGCUGCAGAAAUCAGACACGUCUUUAUUUCUUGCAGCCAUCCUCUCCGAAUAGCCCAGCUUUCAUUUCCACGCCCGGGGAGGGAAGCAGGG